rnacentral:rRNA from 1 species
GAGUUUGAUCCUGGCUCAGGACGAACGCUGGCGGCGUGCUUAACACAUGCAAGUCGAACGAUGAAGCCUAGCUUGCUAGGUGGAUUAGUGGCGAACGGGUGAGUAAUACGUGAGUGACCUACCUUUGACUCUGGGAUAAGCCUGGGAAACUGGGUCUAAUACCGGAUACGACCAAUCUCCGCAUGGGGUGUUGGCGGAAAGCGUUAUGGAGUGGUUUUAGAUGGGCUCACGGCCUAUCAGCUUGUUGGUGAGGUAAUGGCUUACCAAGGCGACGACGGGUAGCCGGCCUGAGAGGGUGACCGGCCACACUGGGACUGAGACACGGCCCAGACUCCUACGGGAGGCAGCAGUGGGGAAUAUUGCACAAUGGGCGCAAGCCUGAUGCAGCGACGCCGCGUGAGGGAUGACGGCCUUCGGGUUGUAAACCUCUGUUAGCAUCGAAGAAGCGAAAGUGACGGUAGGUGCAGAGAAAGCGCCGGCUAACUACGUGCCAGCAGCCGCGGUAAUACGUAGGGCGCGAGCGUUGUCCGGAAUUAUUGGGCGUAAAGAGCUUGUAGGCGGUUGGUCGCGUCUGCUGUGAAAGGCUGGGGCUUAACCCUGGUUUUGCAGUGGGUACGGGCUAACUAGAGUGCAGUAGGGGAGACUGGAAUUCCUGGUGUAGCGGUGGAAUGCGCAGAUAUCAGGAGGAACACCGAUGGCGAAGGCAGGUCUCUGGGCUGUAACUGACGCUGAGAAGCGAAAGCAUGGGGAGCGAACAGGAUUAGAUACCCUGGUAGUCCAUGCCGUAAACGUUGGGCACUAGGUGUGGGGGACAUUCCACGUUUUCCGCGCCGUAGCUAACGCAUUAAGUGCCCCGCCUGGGGAGUACGGCCGCAAGGCUAAAACUCAAAGAAAUUGACGGGGGCCCGCACAAGCGGCGGAGCAUGCGGAUUAAUUCGAUGCAACGCGAAGAACCUUACCAAGGCUUGACAUAUACUGGACUGCGUCAGAGAUGGCGUUUCCCUUCGGGGGUGGUAUGCAGGUGGUGCAUGGUUGUCGUCAGCUCGUGUCGUGAGAUGUUGGGUUAAGUCCCGCAACGAGCGCAACCCUCGUUCUAUGUUGCCAGCACGUGAUGGUGGGGACUCAUAGGAGACUGCCGGGGUCAACUCGGAGGAAGGUGGGGAUGACGUCAAAUCAUCAUGCCCCUUAUGUCUAGGGACUUCACGCAUGCUACAAUGGCCGGUACAGAGGGUUGAGAUACUGUGAGGCGGAGAUAAUCCCUAAAAGCCGGUCUCAGUUCGGAGUGGGGUCUGCGACUCGCCCCCAUGAAGUCGGAGUCGAGAGUAAUCGCAGAUCAGCAACGCUGCGGUGAAUGCGUUCCCGGGCCUUGUACACACCGCCCGUCA